rnacentral:rRNA from 1 species
AGAAUCAACGCUGGCGGCGUGCCUAACACAUGCAAGUCGAACGAGAAAGUGGUAGCAAUACCAUGAGUAAAGUGGCGCACGGGUGAGUAACACGUGACUAACCUACCCUUGAGUGGGGGAUAACUGAGGGAAACCUUAGCUAAUACCGCAUAAUACCCACGGGUCAAAGGAGCAAUUCGCUUAAGGAGGGGGUCGCGGCCGAUUAGUUAGUUGGCGGGGUAAUGGCCCACCAAGACUGUGAUCGGUAUCCGGCCUGAGAGGGCGCACGGACACACUGGAACUGAAACACGGUCCAGACUCCUACGGGAGGCAGCAGUGGGGAAUUUUGCGCAAUGGGGGAAACCCUGACGCAGCAACGCCGCGUGGAGGAUGAAGUCCCUCGGGACGUAAACUCCUUUCGAUCGGGACGAUAAUGACGGUACCGGAAGAAGAAGCCCCGGCUAACUCUGUGCCAGCAGCCGCGGUAAUACAGAGGGUGCGAGCGUUAAUCGGAAUUACUGGGCGUAAAGCGUGCGUAGACGGUUUCGUAAGUCGGAUGUGAAAUCCCCGGGCUCAACCUGGGAAUUGCAUUCGAGACUGCGAGGCUAGGGUGCGGAAGAGGGAGGCGGAAUUUCCGGUGUAGCGGUGAAAUGCGUAGAUAUCGGAAGGAACAUCAGUGGCGAAAGCGGCUUCCUGGUCCAGCACCGACGUUCAGGCACGAAAGCGUGGGGAGCAAACAGGAUUAGAUACCCUGGGUAGUCCUAGCCCUAAACGAUGGAUGCUUGGUGUAGCGGGUACCCAAUCCCGCUGUGCCGGAGCUAACGCGAUAAGCAUCCCGCCUGGGGAGUACGGUCGCAAGGCUGA